AAUCUAUUCCUUGGGCUGUUACUGUGGAGUAAGUGCAUUGCCACAUGUAUCUGCAGUUUGAUGGCAUCAUUCCAGAGAGCGAUGAACAGGUCAGAUCAGCAACCAACUUUUUAUCCAUUGACAUACAGACUGACUGAUGGAAACUUCUAACAACCUUAAGACUUUAAGCCUCAGUACAAGAGUUUACAUCAGACCCUUCACAGAAGGGAAAAGCCGUUUAAUCCCAGAAACUGUUAAAACUUCCCACAAGACAAAAUAAACUACCAUGGUAUA